rnacentral:lncRNA from 1 species
GGGAAGUGAAUUCUCAAAUUAAAAAUAAAACACACUUAGUUUCAACACCACCAACACCAUUUACCAAAUCAUGUCAGUGCCCAGAAUGUCAUGACUUGAGAAAAUAUAGAAAACAACAUUUCCUAGUGCUCAAUUGAGAUUUCACAUAAACCAUCACACACUGAAAGUAUUUACAUCCAAAGACAGAGUUCAUAUUUCCACAACUUGUUGGUCUUAUUGAUUAAUUAAUUAGGAAAGCUCUCCCUCAAACCAAUAAAUACAAAGUUUCCAACAUAAAUAUUAAAAUAUAAUUUGUAAAUUUGAAUACAUUGUUUUUUAAAUACAUUGAUGUUUUUCAUUUCUUAAAUUAUGCAAAUAUCCCCCAAAGUGGUCAGUUUGCACAUCAAUGUAUUUUUCAAAUUAAAAAAAAAAAAUUAGCUGACCUGAUUUUGUAGCCCAAAACACAUGAUGGCACCUGCCAGGACUGAGGAAGAAACAGGUGAAUCACCUUGGGAAAUAGCCUAACGUUUGUCUUCUUUCAUAGUUAUUGAAUACUUAAAACUUCCAUAUAGUGCAGGGCCCUAAAAGGAUGUGUUUAUAGGGAUUUAGAAGGUAAAAUUUAGAAAGUCAUAUGAUUGUAUAAUCAGGAGGCAAAUUCCAAUUUAAUAUUUAGAAGUGUGUGAAUUUUUUUUUGUAUGAUGGAUUUAUAAUUUUUCUACAUAAUUGAUGGGAAUUUGCAGGUACUACUGUGUUUUAUUCAUUGUGGAUAGUUCCUCCCAGGAUAUAGGUUUGAUUGAAAGGUGACAGUGGAAAAAAAAAAACCAAAAUUCCUCUAUUUCCAAAGAAAUCCAGAUGGAAGUGUGUGAAUUCACUGGUAAUCUGAUCUGUCAUUAAACCUCAAUUACCUCCAUAUACUCACUCAUACUGUCUAUCCUCUUCUGCCAUGCCAGGCACCCUUCUGUCUGCAGAUUACAAGAGUCUGGGCUCCAGGGAGGCAUUCUCUGCCAUAAUAAAAGUACCCGAGUCCCAGCCCACUCUGCAGGCCAUAUUCUCAAGCAUGCUUUUCCCUGUGAGAACUUCUUCUCAGGAACUACUCCCAUAUGUCAUUUCCAGUAUAAAGCAUCAGUGGUGA